CAAAGGGCUCACGGAGGAUACCUAGGCACACAGAGGCGAUGAAGGACGUGGUUACCUGCGAUAAGUCUCGGGGAGUUGGAAGCACACUUUGAUCCGGGAAUUUCCGAAUGGGGCAACCCCUUGAACGACCAACUGAAUAUAUAGGUUGGUGCGAGCUAACCCAGCGAACUGAAACAUCUUAGUAGCUGGAGGAAGAGAAAGUAAAUAACGACUCCCUCAGUAGCGGCGAGCGAACGGGGAAUAGCCCAAACCGAUAGUCUUGACUAUCGGGGUUGUGGGACAGCAAUAUGGAUCAACAAUUCUAGAAGAAACGUUUGAAUGGCGUGCCAUAGAGGGUGAAAGCCCCGUAAUUGAAAGAUGAGUUGACCUAGCUGUAUCCCGAGUAGCACGGAGCACGUGGAAUUCCGUGUGAAUCUGCGAGGACCACCUCGUAAGGCUAAGUACUACUGUGUGACCGAUAGUGAAACAGUACCGCGAGGGAAAGGUGAAAAGAACCCCGGGAGGGGAGUGAAAUAGAACAUGAAACCGUGAGCUUACAAGCAAUGGGAGCCCGACUAAUCGGGUGACCGUGUGCCUGUUGAAGAAUGAGCCGGCGACUUAUAGGCACUGGCGGGUUAAACCGGAAAUGGUGGAGCCACAGCGAAAGCGAGUCUUAAUAGGGCGUUUGUCAGUGUUUAUAGACCCGAACCCUGGUGAUCUAACCAUGGCCAGGAUGAAGCUUGGGUGAUACCAAGUGGAGGUCCGAACCGACUGAAGUUGAAAAUUCAGCGGAUGAGCUGUGGUUAGGGGUGAAAUGCCAAUCGAACCAGGAGCUAGCUGGUUCUCCCCGAAAUACGUUGAGGCGUAGCGUCUAGUGCUCCAGCAGGGGGGUAAAGCAACCAUUUCGGUGCGGGCUGCGAAAGCGGUACCAAAUCGAUAUGAACUCUGAAUACCCUGUGUGUAACUAGGCAGUCAGACUGUGGGGGAUAAGCUCCAUAGUCAAGAGGGAAACAGCCCAGACCGCCAGCUAAGGUCCCAAAAUUAACGCUAAGUGAUAAAGGAGGUGGGAUUGCCCAGACAACCAGGAGGUUUGCCUAGAAGCAGCCAUCCUCAAAGGAGUGCGUAAUAGCUCACUGGUCGAGCGAUCCUGCGCCGAAAAUGAAUGGGGCUAAGCGUUAUACCGAAGCUGCGGAUAAAUUUAUUUAUGGUAGGGGAGCGUUCUAUGUUGGGUGAAGCGUUAGCGUAAGCGGACGUGGACGGCAUAGAAGUGAGAAUGUCGGCUUGAGUAGCGAAAACAUGGGUGAGAAUCCCAUGCCCCGAAACCCUAAGGGUUCCUCCGGCAGGCUCGUCCGCGGAGGGUUAGUCUGGACCUAAGGCGAGGCCGAAAGGCGUAGUCGAUGGAUAACAGGUCAAUAUUCCUGUACCAGUUAUGUUUUGGGAAGGGGGACGGAGAAGGCUAGCCAGGCCAGAUGUUGGUUACUGGUUCAAGCGUUCAAGGCUUUGAGAGAUGGAGAAAACAUCUUGAGCUGAGGCGUGAGUACGAGCUGCUACGGCAGCGAAGUUGGUGAUGUCAUGCUUCCAAGAAAAGCCCUAUACCCGUUAAGACAUAAAUGCCAGUACCCGAAACCGACACAGGUGGGGUGGUAGAGAAUACCGAGGGGCGCGAGAUAACUCUCUCUAAGGAACUCGGCAAAAUGGCCCCGUAACUUCGGGAGAAGGGGUGCCAGCGAGAGCUGGUCGCAGUGAAGAGGCGCAAGCGACUGUUUACCAAAAACACAGGUCUCCGCUAAGUCGCAAGACGAUGUAUGGGGGCUGACACCUGCCCAGUGCCGGAAGGUUAAGGAAGCUGGUUAGCUUUUAGCAAAGCUAGCGACUGAAGCCCCGGUGAACGGCGGCCGUAACUAUAACGGUCCUAAGGUAGCGAAAUUCCUUGUCGGGUAAGUUCCGACCCGCACGAAAGGUGUAACGAUUUGCGCGCUGUCUCGGAGAGAGGCUCGGCGAAAUAGAAUUGUCUGUGAAGAUGCGGACUACAUACACCCGGACAGAAAGACCCUAUGAAGCUUUACUGUAGUUUGAUAUUGUGCUCGGGCUCUAAUUGCGCAGAAUAGGUGGGAGACGUUGAAAUAGUACUUGUGGGUAUUAUUGAGUCAUCGGUGAGAUACCACUCUAUUAGAGCUAGGGUUCUAACGCUUACCCGUUAUCCGGGAAGCGGACAGUAUCUGAUGGGCAGUUUGACUGGGGCGGUCGCCUCCUAAAAGGUAACGGAGGCGCACAAAGGUUCCCUCAGGCUGGUUGGAAAUCAGUCGUUGAGUGCAAAAGCAGAAGGGAGCUUGACUGUGAGACCUACAAGUCGAACAGGGACGAAAGUCGGUUUUAGUGAUCCGACGGUUCUGCGUGGAAGGGCCGUCGCUCAACGGAUAAAAGUUACUCUAGGGAUAACAGGCUGAUCUCCCCCAAGAGUUCACAUCGACGGGGAGGUUUGGCACCUCGAUGUCGGCUCAUCGCAACCUGGGGCUGAAGUCGGUCCCAAGGGUUGGGCUGUUCGCCCAUUAAAGCGGUACGCGAGCUGGGUUCAGAACGUCGUGAGACAGUUCGGUCCAUAUCCGGUGUAUGCGCAGGAAUAUUGAGAGGAUUUCUCCCUAGUACGAGAGGACCGGGAGGAACGCACCUCUGGUGUGCCAGUUAUCGUGCCAACGGUAAACGCUGGGUAGCCAUGUGCGGAGUGGAUAACCGCUGAAAGCAUCUAAGUGGGAAGCCCACCUCAAGAUGAGUAUUGCCAUGGCUUAAGCCAGUAAGGUCACGGGAAGAACACCCGUUGAUAGGCUCUACGUGGAAGCUUGGUAACAAGUGCAGCGGAGGAGUACUAAUAGACCGAGGGCUUGACCA
rnacentral:rRNA from 3 species